AUAGUUGUAGACUUAAGAGAUGACUUGGACUAGAAUCUAGCCGAUCAUUUAGAUUUAGAUAAGAUUUCUAGAUAAGGCUUGAGCAUUAUAAAUAAGUGGAGGAUGUUGUAGUUAAAUGCCAAGCAAAAAAAAAAAAACAAAAAAUUUAUAAUGAAAGUGAGUUUUAAAAUUUUCUCCCUAAAUUUAUUUCUCUUUCUCCACUAAAGUCUUUUUUAAAAAUUAUUUCUAUUCCUCCUCCUUCCAACAAAAUGGUAUCGUUCUUCCAAUAAAAUUAUUUCACUUUUGAAUUUUGCUAAAUUUCAUUGAUUUGGGUGUUCGAAUUUCAACAAUAAUCGAUAUAGUCUUCCCUAAACGAGAAAUAUUAUCUUUGUCAUUGGAUGCCAAGAAAUGCAUCUUGAGGCAACAAAAAACAAAUCAAGGCACUGGGAGGUUAGAAGAGAAUCUAGAAUAUAGGUGUUGUGACCUAAUAGGCUGACACAGGCCUUAGGUUGUGCUAAUUGGCUCAAUUGAACGUGUAAGACGAAUAUAUAAAGGCCCAAUUGAUGUGGAAGCAAAGGUCAAGUGAUGCACAAGUUUCUUAGGAUGUCAAAACACCAAAGAAACGGCACAAGGCAAUAUUUGCAUGUCAUGUUGUGCCACACAAUAGGUGUGGUGCGAUAUAAGGCUGACGUGCCGCCCAAGUAUUUUAGGGUUAUUUUCGUCUGCUCAAUCAAACUUAUACGAGGACCUAAGACAUGCCGAAUACCUAAUUUGGGCUGCCAAUACCUCUAUAAAUAAGACAUUAGGGGUUGAGUGUAAAAAAUUUCAUCUAUGACGCCUUCAAAAACCCUCAUAGUUUUGAAUUAGUUUUAGUUUAUUUUCUUUUCGACUUUUUAAAUACGUUCUUGUUUUCUUCUUGAAUCAGUUUUGCUUUAAGAACUUGUUUAUUUAAUUAAAGUAUUUAGUUUAUAUUUUCUGUUUCA